rnacentral:rRNA from 1 species
UACGUAGGGCGCAAGCGUUGUCCGGAAUUAUUGGGCGUAAAGAGCUCGUAGGCGGCCAGUUACGUCCGCUGUGAAAUCCCGGGGCUCAACCCCGGGCGUGCAGUGGAUACGGGCUGGCUGGAGGCAGGCAGGGGAGAACGGAAUUCCUGGUGUAGCGGUGAAAUGCGCAGAUAUCAGGAGGAACACCGGUGGCGAAGGCGGGUCUCUGGGCCGUAACUGACGCUGAGGAGCGAAAGCGUGGGGAGCGAACAGG